rnacentral:ncRNA from 1 species
UAAAAAUUUUUGUAGUUUGGAAAAUUUAUUUAAAGUUUAUUUUACAUAUAAAUUUUAGUGUUAAUUUAAGUUUAUUUUAAUAAUAAAUUUAAUUUAUAUAAUUAGUAAUUAAUUUUAAAUAUUUAAGAAAUUAAUAUUUAGUAAUAUGAAAAUUAAUAACAAAUUUUGUGCCAGCAGUUGCGGUUAAACAAAGAUUAAAUUAAAUUUUAUUAGUUAAAUUAAUUAAUAAUAUAUAAUUAAAAUAAUAUAAAUUUUAAAUUAUUAAGUGAAAUUUUAAUUUAAUAAAAUAUUAUUUAAAAUUUAUGAUUUAAUAAAUUUUUAUAAAAACUAGGAUUAGAUACCCUAUUAUUAAAAUUUUAAAUUUGAAUACUAAAAUAGUAGUUAAUUAUUUAUUGAAACUUAAACAAUUUGGCGGUAUUUUAGUUCAUUUAGAGGAAUCUGUUUAAUAAUUGAUAGUCCACGAAUAAAUUUACUUAAUUUUUAAUUUUGUAUAUCGUUGUUAAAAAAAUAUUUUUUAAUAAAAAUAAUAUUUUAAAAUUAAAAAUAAAAUUAAAUCAGAUCAAGAUGCAGAUAAUAAUUAAGAAUAUAAUGGAUUACAAUAAAAUUAUUUAAAUGAAUAUUAAUUUGGAAAAAUUAAUUGAAAUUGGAUUUAAAUGUAAUUUUAUUUAAUUAAAUAAAAUGAUUAAAAAUUGAAAUAUGUACAUAUUGCCCGUCGCUUUCAUAUAUUAAUAAAUUGAAAUAAGUCGUAACAAAGUAGAGGUACUGGAAAGUGUUUCUAGAAAGAA